GCCUGUGUGCACGAUCACUAGUGAUUGGGUUCACCAAAUUUUGUUGGAGAAAACGUCCCCUAUUUUUUCCCCCUAUUUUUUUGAUUUUUCCAGCACUAGUGGUCACCACCGACCGUCGGUUCGUUCUUCGGGUUGCGGUGACAUAGCCCUCCUACCGUCGACCACCAUCGCAUCGAUCGUGACCUUUGAUCUAUCGAACAAAGGGGGACCACGCGGUCCCCUAUUUUGUUAAAGGACCACGGGAUGAAGAAGAAGGAAGAAAGAAAAGA
rnacentral:lncRNA from 1 species